rnacentral:rRNA from 1 species
UACGUAGGGAGCAAGCGUUGUCCGGAUUUAUUGGGCGUAAAGAGCGUGUAGGCGGCCAGGUAGGUCCGCUGUGAAAACUCGAGGCUCAACCUCGAGAUGUCGGCGGAAACCAUCUGGCUAGAGUCCGGAAGAGGAGAGUGGAAUUCCUGGUGUAGCGGUGAAAUGCGCAGAUAUCAGGAAGAACACCCGUGGCGAAGGCGGCUCUCUGGGACGGUACUGACGCUGAGACGCGAAAGCGUGGGGAGCGAACAGG